UCAGUGGUGAAUAUCUAGUUUGAAGAGGUACACAGUUGUGUGAUAAUCGAUAUAAUUGAAUGCGAUGAAACGAUAACUCCAAAUGUAGACACAUUGAAUAUUUGCGAUUACAAUUAUCGAUAAUUCAGUUUGUGGAUUAAUUUUUGAUAGUAUUGAUGGAUCUCGGGGCGACCCUGGAAUUUGAUAAUUGAGGGAGGGGAGCAGGGGAGUGGGCAUUCCUAAAAUAUUUCUAUGAACUUUUUAUUCUCGAAAUACCCAUUAGUUUGUAGAACUCCUCUUCAGAGAGAAAGAAUAUCUGUGAAAGGGGGAAAAAAUUGGGGAGUUUCACUCAGCCAAUUUUCAAUUAUUAUUGCCGAAGGAAAGUGGCUUUUUAAGGUAUUUUUAUAAUAAAUCUGAUUCUAUAUUUCUUGACCUUAUAAUUAGCCUCAGCUGUUGGUUCUCCACUGAAUAAAUUCUUAAAUCAUUGAUUUGGUAUCCGGGGAUGGAAUGAAAGCUUUCAAAAUAUAUCUAUGAUUUUGUUCUCGAAAUAUCCAUUAGUUUAUGCAAUUUAACGUCGGAUCUUUUUGAAGAGCAAAAGAAUAUCUUUGGAAUAGAAAAAAAAAUCCAGACUUUUACCCAGCCAAUCUGGAUUUAUUGCCGAAUGAAAGUGAUUUAUCAAUGUUCCUCCUCUAAACAAUAUAAAACCACAAACCCAUGUGCCAUCUUUAAUUAAAACCUAAAUUCAAUCAGACCUAUUUCCUCAUUCCACGAUUUCACUAUUAGUUUCGAUAAACAAACCUCUUCAAAUUAUCGAUAUCUCACGACCGAAGAUACGAUUCGGAUAAAUUAAAUCUUAUUUGCAACCCUGAGGAACCGAAAAUAGAACCGGCCAGUUCCAGAAAAAACUGUUAAGCAGAACAAAAACAGUGAAUGUUUUUUUCAUUCAUUGAUUAGAGAAUUCUACCAAACGUCAUUUAAUUUUCUAGUGACAGACAGAUUAUUUGAAAAAUAUCUAAGAGAAGAUGACGUCCGCCAGAUAUCAACCUGUUGACUCUACC